rnacentral:rRNA from 1 species
GAUGAACGCUGGCGGCGUGCCUAAUACAUGCAAGUCGAGCGAACAGACGAGGAGCUUGCUCCUCUGUCGUUAGCGGCGGACGGGUGAGUAACACGUGGAUAACCUCCCUAUAAGUCUGGGAUAACUUCGGGAAACCGGAGCUAAUACCGGAUAAUCUAUUGAUCCGCAUGGUUCAAUAGUGAAAGACGGUGUUGCUGUCACUUAUCGAUGGAUCCGCGCCGCAUUAGCUGGUUGGUACGGUAAAGGCUUACCAAGGCAACGAUGCGUAGCCGACGUGACAGGGGGAUCGGCCGCACGGGAACUGGGACACGGACCAGGGUCCUAAGGGAGGCAGCAGUAGGGAAUGGGAGGCAAUGGGCGAAAGCAUGACGGAGCAACGCGACGUGAGUGAUAAAGGUCUUCGGAUCGUAAAACUCUGUUAUUAGGGAAGAACAAAUGUGGAAGUAACUAUGCACGUCUUGACGGUACCUAAUCAGAAAGCCACGGCUAACUACGUG